rnacentral:rRNA from 1 species
UUCGUUUUUUCUUGCGGAUUUGUCCAGCCCCCAUUUGUAGUUUGGGCCCAGUCUCCAUUUGUACAAUUUAUUGUCUCUUUCAGUAGGUUAUGUUUCCAUUUUUCGUGAUAUAAUAUCAGUUAAAGGACUAUUUAGUUCACGACUGUGGAUACAGGUUUAUGGUACCUGUUAACAUACGAACAUAAAGGUUUUUUCCCCAGCACACCGAUUUUAGACUGGGCCAAGAUUGAUUAUUGGCUUUGUUUUGUUCCGUUGAUAGUGGUUUGGGAGGACCUGGCAACGGGUGCGAGAAAAAAGGAAAGGACCUGUUGUUUAGUGGACUGUUUCUUUUCCUUGUUUUAAGUAGUCUUAUGACCGCAGAGGGUCCUGGGAGGAAAUUGAACGUAGUGUGUUCAGUAGACCCUCCGCGGUACCGGGUACCCUCUCCCCUUUACUCUUCUUUCUCAUCUUUUUGUAGUCUCUCCGCAGUACCCUCUCUCCCUCACUCUUCUUCCUUCUUGUUUUUGUUCAGUCUCUCCGUGUAGUCUCCCCGUUCAUGGACCUCUCUUCGUUCCCCCUUCUUGUAUAGACUUAUUAACCACCACCUGUUUCCUUCUAGUAGGUUCUCUGCCAGGUGUCGAGUGCUUUACAGGAUGAGGAAAACUAGUGUGAAGAUAACUUGAGAAGGUACAAAAAGGAGUGGGACGACGAGAUGUAUGUGGACGAUGUACUUGAUCGGACGUUUUUUUGGUAGUAUGUUAGAUCACUCUUAAAACCUUAGCAGUCCCCUUUUUAAGAUUGACAGCCUUCCAUUUUGACAAUUAUAAAGUGACAGUUUUGUGAUGUGGUUGUACUUAAGGUCACAUUACAUGUGUACUUUUUUUUGAAACGACGUCAUAUCCCGUUACAUCCAUUGUACUUGGUACUCCUUUAAUGUACUUUUUUCAACACAACAUCAUGUGUACUUUUUUAGAAACGACGCUAUGUCCCGUUACAUCGAUUGUACUUGAGUCCCCUUUAAUGUCUCAAUCUGUUGAGUACUGUAAGUACCUUUUUUACUCUACUUAAGGUCACAUUAUGGAUGUACUGUAUGUUACUUUUGACCCCCUUAUAAUGUGACAUAAGGUCGUAAUAAAUUAUGUUAAGUCUUAAUGUUACAUUAAGGCCCCCUAUAAUGUUAUAUUUAAACCCCAUACAUAUAAUGUUACAUUAGGACCCCUUAUAAUGUGAUGUUUAUAUCACCUUUAAUGUCUCUUUAAUUCUCCAUAAUGUAACAUUAAGUUUCUCAAUUUUAAGUGGCCUUUAAGUUCGUUUUCGACUUGUCUUAUUCAUCUCUCUAUGUACGUUCAAGUCUACUUCAGUACUUAUGUCUCUGUCUGGAUAGUCGUAUUUCUUGUGUUCAGGAUAGUCUACUUACGUAAUUAUAACUGUUAGUUUUCAUCUCGAACAAUGUCACGACCAUGUGUACCUGUCACUUCUUUACUUAUUAGUGUGAUCACCUAAUGUUACUAUUAUUGGUUCUCUGAUGUGUCCUAUUAGUGUGUUUCGUCUCAAUUUUAGGUGACAUUAAGUUCGUUUAGACUUGUUCUUACUUCGGGUUUAUGGUUCAUUAUGUCUCCAAGUAGCCCUUUUAAUGUGAUGAAACAAAUUUCUUCUUUUUAAUAUGACUUAAAGAUCCUUUUAAAUGUGACGUUAAGCCCCUUAUUAAUGUGAUAUUAAUGUAUUUAUUUCGUACUUCAAAUGUGACAUUAAUACCCCUUUUAAUGUGAUAUUAAUGUAUUUACUUCGUACCUCAAAUGUGACAUUAAGACCCUUUUAAUGUGACAGUAAAUUUUUUUACUUCGUAACCCUAAUGUGAUUUUGGACCCGAUUUAAUGUGACGUUAAGAUCCCAUAUAAUGUGACGUUAAUGUAUUUCCUUCGUACCCCUAACGUUACUUUAAAAACCUAUGUAAUGUGACAUUAUGAUCCCCGUAUGAUGUGACAUUAAAAUCCGAUUUAAUGUAACAUUAAGAACACUUAUUUUUUCUAUUCAGUAAUUAACAUUGAUCUAGUCUUUCUGAGUGUACUAAGUGUAUCUUUAACUUUUAUCAAAAUAGUUUUGGAGAUAGUAGUGAUCUUUCUAGGAUUUGUUAUUAAGUCAGUUGUUUGUCUUUAAAAUUAUUUAUCUUUCUUUCUUAUUUUUGCUUUUACUUUCAUCUCUUGUUCUGUUUUUAUUGAUGGUUUCUGUAUCGUAAUCUUGGUAGAAGGUGUUUCAGUAAUCCGUGUUUUCCUAGUAAGUUUCUUAGUCGGGAGAGUUAUCUUCUUUGAUGGUUUUGUAGUAACACUCUCUGAAGGGCAUCAGAGGUGUAACUGGAUUUGGAUUGUUUUGUAUUAUGUACUGUCUGCUUUCUUUUAAUUUCUUUCGACUUUUAAUAUCUCAUUCCCCGAGUUAAUGUUCCCUUUAGAGUGUUGUUUAUUAUGUAACUUUCCGUCGUUAGUCCCCUUAAUAUCUCAUUACCCCCGUAUAAUUAUAUCACCUUCUUAGUGAAUUUAUGUCACAUUUUUGGUUGGAUUUAUGUCACUUUGAGACUCAUUUUUUGAUUUUUAUGUGUUAUUAAUCCCGUUGAAUGUUACUUUUCCAUCUCCUUCAUGUGACGGUUCUUGACUUCUAUUUAAUAUAUCAUUCUUACCCCCUAUAAUGUCACGUUUUGGUGUACUUACGUACGUUUUGUAGACUAUUUUUUAUGUUACAUUUAUUGUUUCUUUGACCGCGUCAUAAUGUGACUUUUUUAUAUGUGACGUUAAAUGUGACUUUCUUCGUACUAUUAAUGUGACAUUACCCCCCUUUAUAAUGUGUCAUUAAGAUCCCUUUUAAUGUGUCAUUAAUGUUUUAUUUCUUCGUGCUUUUUUUGUUACAUUAAUACCAUAUAAUGUGACAUGAACGUCCGAUUGGAUGUCACACUAAGAUGCUGUGUACUCUUAAUGUGACAUUACCCCCUUUUAUAAUAUGUCAUUAAGAUCCUGUUUUAUGUGUCAUUAAUGUUUAUUUUUUCGUGUUUUUGUGUGCGAUUAAUGCCAUAUAACGUGACAUUAACGUCCCAUUGGAUGUCACAUUAAGAUGCCUGUAUAAUGUGUCAUUAAUAUCGUUUUAAAUGUGACUUCUUUCUUCGUAGUCCUAAUGUGACAUUAAUCCCCCUUUUAUGUGUCAUGAUGAUCCUGUUUAAGGUCUCAUUGUUGUUUAUUUCUUCGUAGCCCUAUGUGACAUUUACGUGAUGUUAAUACCCCAUUCAAUGUGACAUUAAUACCCAAUUUAAUGUGGCGUUAAGACCUACCCCUAUGUGACAUUAAGAUCCCCAUUCAAUGUGAAGUUCAGACCUCAUUUAUAUGUGACAUUUCUUCGUACGUUAAGUCUCUCUAAGGACCUGACUGUGAUGUUGUUGUGACGUCGGAUCAUGUGUGUUUAAGUCUCUCUAAGUCCAUGGCCCCCUUUACUUGUGGAUGUAGAUUGUGUUUUUUAGUAUUACUUAAGGUCCCUGAUGUUGUCGUUUGUAGUCGUCCGUCGUCGAUUGUCGUUUAUGUUGAUUUGACGUAUUCGUCCGUCUUUAGUCCGAUCUAGUAGACGUUGAUGUAGAUUACUGUUUCCUUGUCUGUGGGUCCGGCCGUCUUUAUUUUAACUAUCCCGAUUGGUGGCGACGUUGAUAUUGAAGGGGAUGGAGAUAUAGAUGUAGUCUUAUUUGUUGGAUGCGGACAGAGGUGUAGAUGUUCGUACCCUCUUAUCCUGGUGUUGUUCGUCUACCUAAUCUUGGGGGUGUAUGUUGUUCGAGGAUGUAUUGAGUCCGCUCGUCUUCCUACCCUUUACCUCGCGAUCCGUACCGCCUGAUCUUUGUUUGUGCUGUCGUUGUACGUGGAUGGUGCCUAGGUGGCUGUUGUGGUUCUUAUCUACUUGGUACCUAGGUACCUAGGUUUUGAAUGGAUCUAGGCCUUGAUGUGUCGGUGUUGUGUUUGUUUUCGUGUGUCCCUUUGUGCUCUCCGUUCCUGUUGGCUGGCGCCGUCGCCCCUAGCUUCUCUUUUCCCUCCUCUUUAGCUUUAGCUCGCCACCUUAUCGAGCCUUAGCGGUACUUGUAUUCUUUAGCGGAGGAGAGGAGGCGACGAGCUCGAGUAAGGGAAGAGGAACGGAAUAGUUUUGUCUUGGGAGGUCUACUUUCACCUCUGUCACGGCCCGG